GUAGUCUCGGGCAGUGGUCAAAGCUAUGGAAUCGAAAUCCAUUGGGGUUUCCCCUCGUAGGUUCGAAUCCUAAAGGCUGCA